rnacentral:rRNA from 1 species
GAUGAACGCUGGCGGCGUGCCUAAUACAUGCAAGUCGAGCGAACGGACGAGAAGCUUGCUUCUUUGAUGUUAGCGGCGGACGGGUGAGUAACACGUGGAUAACCUACCUAUAAGACUGGGAUAACUUCGGAAAACCGUAGCUAAUACCGGAUAAUAUUUUGAACCGCAUGGUUCAAAAGUGAAAGACGGUCUUGCUGUCACUUAUAGACGGAUCCGCGCUGCAUUAGCUAGUUGGUAAGGUAACGGCUUACCAAGGCAACGAUGCAUAGCCGACCUGAGAGGGUGAUCGGCCACACUGGAACUGAGACACGGUCCAGACUCCUACGGGAGGCAGCAGUAGGGAAUCUUCCGCAAUGGGCGAAAGCCUGACGGAGCAACGCCGCGUGAGUGAUGAAGGUCUUCGGAUCGUAAAACUCUGUUAUUAGGGAAGAACAUAUGUGUAAGUAACUGUGGACAUCUUGACGGUACCUAAUCAGAAAGCCACGGCUAACUACGUG